rnacentral:tmRNA from 1 species
CCCCUGGAUUCUGCCGCGCGAUGCGCCUACAUAGGUGUCGUCGCCUCGGCGACUAUGGUGAUAAACGCGACCUGGAAUAAUCGUUGCGGACCCGGGGGCAGUGCCCGGCGCCUCCACCAAACCCUGCCUCGGCAGGACCAUGGGGGCGAAACAGCUUCGACGCGCGUGGUAAAGAGGUCGUUUUUGCCCGGCAUUGUACCGCCGUUAUCGGGCUAAUCUCUAAGUGCGAACGACAAUAGCCGCGAGGCUUACGCACUCGCUGCCUGAAUAAGGUAAGCGCGGUUCGGGGGGCACCGGGCAACAGAAGCCCCCCACU